GCUGUCCCUCCCCCACUGCAGUGUGCACAAAAGUACCAAACCACCAAAACUUUCACAGGUCAACACAGUUCCCCCUCCCCCAUGCUGCAGUGACAAAUCUCUCCCCAGGGUUGCCAUGUACAUUGUGUUGUCUUUUAUUGAGGUACUUUUAAAACUUUGCUGCGGGUAAAAAGUGUUGGUUGCUGCGUGCAAGUAUUUAUACUACUUCUAUAUUGCACCGUUAUCAACAUGAUAUUUUUUAAAACCCAUUAAUUUCCCUGUAAUCUGCUGAGAUUGUAACAGUUUUCAGGCUUUGAAGGCGGGUUUUUACUGGAAUUACUAGAAAUGUGAAAUUGAUCUGGCAAGCCUGUCUCUGCCUGAGCAUGAUCACAACAAAAGUAGCUGUGUGCAGCAAGUUUUUUAAGGAAGAGGAGGAUGGUUGCAGACGUUCUCAUUCAUGCAAGAAGGCACUGCAGAGGCUAAGAAGAUGCAUGGAAACUCUAAAAGAAACAUAAUUCAACAUGUAGGCCAGAUUUGAAAAGGAAAUAAUAAAUCCCGAAGCUCAGUGUAAUGGCUCUCGUCGGUGGAAGGAGAGGAGGACCAAAGCGCAGCGUGAUGUCAGACACCGAGGCUGCCUGCACCGCCGUUGAUCAGAACAGACAGCGUAUACUUGACCAAAGCUAUGCUUGGAUACAGGACUGAUGACUCAAUAACCAGUAUUGACAACAGUGAAGAUGGUUAUGUCCCAGGGCCAUCAGGAUCAUCAGAGGAAGGCAAUUUCUAUGAAGAAAAUCUGACCGGUGUGCCUAUACCUUACAUACACAUGGACCUAUUCUUAAUUGCAAUGUCCUUAUCGACAUGUUUUCCACUGAUGUUUUCCAGGAGAGAUGUCAGCGAUUCGGGCCAAUGACCAAGGGAAAGCUGGGACAAAAAAGAGGCUCACACGGUGCCAAAGGAACAAAAAGGUAUUGGUCGACAAUAGAGGUGGAUGCAGUUGAAGAUUCCUUGAUGGAUUUCAUCCGACUGAGAUAAACGCCUGGAAAACAAGACUGUGAGAAAUGCAUUGCUGCUUCUCCCCAAGCACUAGUAAACAGGGACUGGAGAGCAGUAAAGUUCUAUGUACACAACAGAAUAGUUGCAGAUCAGAGAAAAUAAGUGUAUGAGAUGCUUCUGGUUAUCUUGGUGUACUUCUGAGGAUUUAAUGGGACUCACUUGACUUAAGCUCAUAGGCAGAUGACAAAUGUCCUCUAUCUUACUAUACGGGGGAGUUUUUCCGGGUGGGUGGUUCACUUUUGUAGUGACUAAGGUCUCAAGAAUACAAAGUCUGCUGACUUUGAAUGUUAAAAGGGGGAAAAAAUACAAUUCUAAACUAUUAAUCUGUUACUUGGAUAUAUUGAAUCCAUUACUGAAAUGGUUGUUCCAGUUUAAAUACUUUACAGAAGAACUACACUACAGCUGUUGAAUUGCCAUCCGUGUUGCACCAUUGUGGUAUUCUACAUGAAUAUUUUCAGCCCAAAAAUAGAAUGAAUGCGUCAAAUAUCGAGAAUUUAAAUUUGUUAAUUAUUUUACGGUUCCAUUAGGUACAACGUAGGCAGUUGGAUAGCUUUUAUAGAUUUCAUAGGAGGCAUUCUCUCAAUGGCUGAUGGCAAUGCAUUGCAAUGCAUUGUGUGGCUGCUGCCAAGAUACAUACUCAAUCUCUAGCCACUAAUAGUUAAUAAUACGAUGUAAUAAAUGUAUCACU